GUGCUCACUUCAGCAGCACAUAUACUAAAAUUGGAACAGUACAGAGAAGAUUAGCAUGGCCCCUGAGCAAGAAUGACAUGCAGAUUCGUGAAAUGUUCCAUGAUGAU